rnacentral:rRNA from 1 species
GGUGGAGCAUGUGGUUUAAUUCGACGCUACGCGUAGAACCUUACCUGGGUUGACAUCCCGGGAAUCCGUAUGAAAGUAUGGAGUGCCCUUCGGGGAGCCCGGAUACAGGUGCUGCAUGGCUGUCGUCAGCUCGUGUCGUGAGAUGUUGGGUUAAGUCCCGCAACGAGCGCAACCCUUGUCUUCAGUUGCCAGCGAUUCGGUCGGGGACUCUGGAGAUACUGCCCCGGUUAACGGGGAGGAAGGUGGGGAUGACGUCAAGUCCUCAUGGCCUUUAUGCCCAGGGCUACACACGUGCUACAAUGGUCUGUACAAAGGGUGGCGAACCUGCGAAGGCAAGCCAAUCCCAAAAAGCAGGCCUCAGUUCGGAUUGGAGUCUGCAACUCGACUCCAUGAAGUUGGAAUCGCUAGUAAUCGCGGAUCAGCAUGCCGUGGUGUAUACGUUCCCGGGCAUUGUACACACCGCCCGUCACACCAUGAGAGUUGNCUGUACCCGAAGUCGCGGGGCCAACAGUAAGUAGGCAGGCGCCGAA